CCUACGGGAGGCAGCAGUGAGGAAUAUUGGUCAAUGGGCUUACGCCUGAACCAGCCAAGUCGCGUGAGGGAAGACUGCCCUAUGGGUUGUAAACCUCUUUUGUCAGGGAGCAACGCCGGCUACGUGUAGCCGGACUGAGAGUACCUGAAGAAAAAGCAUCGGCUAACUCCGUGCCAGCAGCCGCGGUAAUACGGAGGAUGGGAGCGUUAUCCGGAUUUAUUGGGUUUAAAGGGUGCGUAGGCGGAAUGCCAAGUCAGCGGGAAAAUCGCGGGGCUCAACCUCGCGCCGCCGAUGAAACUGGCGUUCUUGAGUGGGCGAGAAGUAUGCGGAAUGCGUGGUGUAGCGGUGAAAUGCAUAGAUAUCACGCAGAACUCCGAUUGCGAAGGCAGCAUACCGGCGCCCAACUGACGCUGAAGCACGAAAGCGUGGGUAUCGAACAGGAUUAGAUACCCCAGUAGUC
rnacentral:rRNA from 1 species